UAACGAUGGCAGAGGGAGGAGGAGGAGGAGGAGGGGGGAAAGAGAAAAUUGGCCUGCAUGAUGGAAAGAUCUGACGCACAUUAACGUUACUGCGUAAAAACAAUCCAAACAUUUAACUUUGCUAAUGCAAACUCUCUGGAAAGCUGGAGAAUGAAAACGACGACAGCUAAGUUCCCUGAAUCCUCCUAGUUGUGUUAACGUUUGUUUGUUUUUUAUUGUGCAUGCAUAGAUUUUUCUGAUAUUUAAUUCAUUCCCGUGCAUGUCUGCCCAUAUGAUACUCUGUGAUGCGUGAAGAUGAAACAUUUUUACUAUUUGGUGCUGAAAUGCAUGCCUUGAUAUUUCCAGCUUUACAGCCCGCCGUGUAGAUCCAAGCUGCGAAUGCAAAGCAUGAAUUUACGUCUAUUUAUUCCCACAGGAUUAGCCGAAGGUGGGAAGAAUAUUGAGCAGCAGCGGCAGCAGCACCGGCGACAAUGAAUGGAGAGAAUAAAGAGUUUCCUUAAGAGUUUGGAAGAGGUGCUAACGACCCCAAUCAUUGCAUGUUUUUACAUUUGAAAAAAGUAGGAAAUGCGGGCAGCGGGUGAAUGCAAAGAGAGCAUUUAUUCACAAGCAUGAAGGUGAGCGGUGUAGGCUGGGCUCAGGGAGAGGAUGUCGGAUCCGAUACAGAGGGUUUCCUCCGUAGUGUGGGAACAUUUGGGAAGACUAGUGAAAGAACAGGACAUUUCGUAUUUCAGCUAACGUUCAAAGCGACUAAAGAAAUGUGUGGUAAAUUAACAAUAUAGGAAUUUAAACUCAAGACAUAUUCCGACAAGCGAUUUAAACGUUCAAUUGAUUUUAUCGGAAGUCUUUUAGCAGGUUAAUGAAAAUAUCUAUAAUCAACACCAGUCAGUUAUUUGUGACAAAGAUUUAUUUGAAUACAUUAAAACACAUAAAUGAAUUAGAAAUGAAGAUAUGCUGUAAUCAACGAUUAGGCUAUUUCUGAGCCCCACGCUCCUUUUUCUCAAUUAAAACACUGUAUGAGGCAGAAUACAUUUUAAUUCAGGAAGUAUCGUUAUUAUUAUUGUUAUUAGGCAUAUUAUUGUUAUUAUUAUUAUUGCCAAAUUAAAUAAAUUACACGUGUCACCUAUGAAUGACAUAAUUACCAUUCAUUACUUAACUCAUAUGAUGAAAACUGAAUGUAGGCCUAUCUUCUAACAACAAAAGCGCAUUUUCAUGAAUUUAUUUUGCAGUUUACUUUGCUUUAAAAUCCCAUCUGGGUUAUUUUUGUAUCUUAUAGUUUUUGGAGUAAAUGUGAUCCUUUAAUUGGAUUUAGCAGUGCACUGAGGUGCUGCUUCAUGCGCCACCUUCGACACCUCUGCUCUCGGGAUACAAGUCGGAUUAAUCAAACGCUAUCAUUAAUGAUGCGCGUAUGGGUCAAAGGACGGAAACAUGGCUUCCGAUUAGACUCGCCUUGUGUUAAUCUCUCGGUGACCUGUGUGAUCUGGAGGUCCGUCAAUACGGAUUACUUAGCAGAUGAAACCAGAAUCUACAUCAACUUUUAUCCUGCUUAUCCGCAGGGCGCAUGUGUAUUGAGGAAAGCGCUGCUUCUGUUUAGUUUCUGGAUUUUUCAUAAAUCAGCAAAAUGAACUUUUGUGAAGGUUGCUUGUUUGGGAGGUUUUGCUAAAAUCGAAAAUGAUCCGAUCAAAGAUGUUUUUGUCUCCUUUGCACUGCUGAUUUGACACAUUUCCUGCAUUUCUUCAAAGCAUCAGAAGUCCAUUGAACUCUUUUUGAUAUUAGUGGCCUUUUUGAUAGUAAAUGGUGCCUUUUAAAAAUGCUGCAAGAAAUGUUUUAUAGCAGCAAAAUAAGAGAGCCACUGUCUUAACCAACAUCUCUCCCCUCUCUCUCCCCCUGUGUGUGUGUGUGUGUAUGUGUGUGUGUGUGUGUGGAGAGACAGGUGCAGCCAGCCUCCUUUUAAAAAAUCUCAGAGUCGCAGUGUUGUGUGAAAGGCGGCGUAACUGCUGAUAUAACCUGACUGAAACAGCACCGAGAGGAGGUUUCAUACCCGUCCUUCCUGUGAUCUUUUGAAGCCUCAUAAAUCCGCUUUUAUACCUCCGCAGUUUGUUAAUGAAAUGUACGUUUUAAGCACACAUGCACGGCUUAGCGCGACAAAACCUUUUAGUAUAAUAAGCCAACUCGCUCCGGCAUGAAACCAUUAGGGGGGGACAGACAGAAGAGACAGCGGAGCAGCAGCAGCAGCAGCACAGGUGAUGGAGAGGAAACAGUCUCCACAUGUGAUCACUGUAAACUACCAGCAAGGUCACCGAACAAAUAGGCUAAUUGUGAUCAUAAUAAUGUGAUGCUCUGGUGAUUCCUGAGAGGGAGGACUUUUUUCUCUCUUGUCCCCCUUGUGGAUUCCUCUGUCUCACUGGGGUCAGAGGUCAGGGUCAGCUGCAGAAGACGGCAGGGUGUCGGUUGUUUGCUCAAGGACACUUCAGCAGGGUGGGAGAUGAUCUGUCUAAAUGAAUGAAGGUGGAUGGAGAUGCUAAAUAUUGUUAUUUCAUUUCAAGGGGGGAGGGGGGCAUUUUCACGUGUUUCGAUACUUUUUCCUUUGUGUGACAUUAUCUGAUGCCACUGGAGUGGUUGUCCUGAAUUUUCUGCUUUAAAAUUUCCAUAUAAUAGUUAUUUCAAAGUAUAUCUUCAAAACUUGGGAAAGUGCGCAUUCUCAAGCCUUUCUGAAGGUCAUAAGACCAAAUAUGAAAAAUAUGGGACUUGUGAAGAUUUGAGAGCAUUUUAAGACAUUCUUUAUUGCAGUUUGUAUGUGUGCGAGCUAAAUGUCAAGGGCUUGCGGGGGAUAAAAAGGUGUGGAGGUUUAUAUGGGAAAGGUGGAUGCACAUCCAAUCAAUAGUGACUCCUCGCUCUCUUUCUCUUUUGAUUUCUUAAAAAUGGGCUAUGUUACAAAAAAACCCUGUUGUUGUGCAGUAAAAUGUGGCGCAUAUAAGUACUAAUUUGGAAACCUCUUAUGUGGCCCCUUUAGAGGAUUGUUAUCAUUUCAGAAAAAAAGUUAAAAUCUUUGUUUAUUAUUAAUUAGUUAUUAAAAUCUCUGUUAACUAAUGAUACAAAUACGAGACUAGCUAUUUUACGUCAUAUCUGCACACAUAAUAAGUGCCCAUAUUACAAACACAUUAUUCCAGGACAAAUUAAACCCCCCCCAAAACUGAACCUUGUUUGACUCACAUUCUUGCAUCGAAAACAGCUGUUUGUGAAACCAGAUUUUUGAAAGGCAACUCAUUUAAUUAAUUAGGUGAGAGAGCAGUUGGGGCAGCAGCUAGUGAAACGAUAUGAUAAAUUAAUGCCAUUGUUAGCGCGCCUGUAAUUACGACCAUUAUGUUAAUUAUUUUACACCAGUAGCCAAAUCUUCAGCUUGUCAGAUUUAAUAGCUAAAAACAAGAUGUUCUCAAAAAAAAGUGAAAAAGCUCACCAUAUCUGCAAAUAUGUGUGCCACACAACAGAUACACAAAAAGAAUGGAUUAUUGAAAUAUGUUUCCUCUAAUUGGGUGUUUCAUGAUCGACAAUGUGAAUCCUGCAGAGCCCUGGAAAGCAGGCAUGUGAGGUGCCCCCCCCCCUUCCUCUUCUUUUUGGAAAUCACCAUUUUCAGCCCUUCUCAAAGAAUCCACUCUAUCAACCUGCGAGUUUCUGUCAAACAAUAUGAUGGAGCCCAUUUUUAACCCUCCCUCCUGCGGGAUCAGCCGGAGCCAGAUCUCAGCUUCACAACAAAGCACAAAGGGCCCAGAAUAGAAGACACGUGUGCAUGUUGUCUAUGUGUGCGUGUUUGUGUAUAUAUUGGACAUCCCAUCUGUUUGACCCGUCCGUAUAAAGACACCACGCAGCAGAUCAGGCUGCACAGCCAGGUGACGUAGAAGGACUCACCUCCUGUCUUAGCUCGCUUUCGUUUCGUUCAUAGUUUUGGGCUGAGGUAGCUUAUGAUGGGCUCUGAAUGCAUGUUUUACAUUAGCUAUGAUAUAUGAUAAUAGCAUGUUUUUUAAAAAAAGCACUUGAUUUUAUAUUGGCGAUGAUCACCAUGUUGACUCAUCUUCUUAUUUAUUGUUUCCUCAAACAGAUGUUGUUGCUGAAGCCAGUGGAAAAAAAAAAUUAAAUUACAUUAAGAAACAGACUUUUUGAGUGAACAGCUGGAUAUCUGGGUCAGAGGGGCCUCUUGUGUUGUGGGUAGAUGCAGCACAUUACAGGAUUCUCCUUUAUAGGGGUUCCUCCUCCUGGGUCAGGUUUUGCUGCAUCCUGCGAGGGGCCGUCAAACUUUCGGAGGCUCACAAAGGCCCCAUUCUCCUCUGUGUUGCUCUUCUUCAUCACCCAGCUUCAGGGCAUAGCCGAUCUGCUCAAACCCCAGUAUUGUCUGGGCAAAACCACAUAUUAAAUUUGCCCCGCAUAAGCCAUUUCAUUGAGCUGCAGCAGGAAUUCCUUUGCUGGGUCAUUCAUCUGUGUACAUGGUUUGGACACACAUUUGAAACAAAGCAAGCCAGUCAAGGAUAAUAUUGAGGAAGUUACAUACAUUUCAAGUUUUGCAGCAUAUGUCAUUUCUGUUUCUUGCUCUUUUGACACUGGAGUUGUCGGUGCAGAUUCAUGCAGCGGGAACAUUGCGAUACUGUAGCUGCGAGCGAUCCAAAAUUUCUCCCUGCAUAUGUAAUGUUUUGCACUUCAUUAGGGAUUCUGGAUUUUCCCCAUCAGGAAUGUCAACUGAAUAGAAAGAGAGGGAAACUAAGAGAGCUCUCUAUCCACAGCAAACAAUUAACAAUGAAUAAUAAAGACAAAAAAUCAAAUUCAAGCCAACCAGAGGUUCUGUGGAUAAUUCAUCAGUUCUGUAUUGAAAUAGUACAUGAGCUUAUCUGUUGUUUGUUCAUUUAGUUAUGAAUCCAUUUUUUAUACCAUAUCUGUAACUUCAUCUCUGCACCAGCACAGCAUGAUUUAGUUUAUCACUUUAUAACCAUGUAAAUGAUUUAUGUUGUGCUACUUGUCCUUAUUGUAAUUACAAGAGUAUUUUAAAACUAGUAUUUUUAUCAAACAUUUAAAAACAGGAAAAACCUGGAAUGCCAUUAAGAUAUAAGAUCUGUUGCCCUUUGACAAACUUCUGAGAUCAUGAGCUCAACGCACUGCAACUUAAGAAAACACACGCAAAUAGACAAAACACAAGCAAAUGAGGCAUAACAAAACAUGAUGCAAAUUCAGACAACACAACCAAAUUUAGAAAUGCUUGACGUAGCUUGUUGACUACUCGUCAGUGGUGUCAGAAAAUGAGCAAAAAAAAGUUUAUUUCAGUUUAUUUCACAUUCUGAUUACAUGAUUCAGACAUUACUGCAUAGUGUAUAUAGUGUACAGGCCAAGUCAUGGAAUACUAACUCCAUGAGCCACAACCAUGGCAACGCCUCACAUGCAUGGAUGCAUUGAGAGACUCUUGUCCCAGUGGCCACGAGUGGUACUGCUACAACGAAAUCUCCUACAACCCAAAAGCAUUUUCCACACAUACCGACAUCUAUAAAACUGAUGACAGGACACCUCCAACUGCAAACAAUGUCAAUUAUUACUCUUUGUGUUAAAAAUAUUAAUUUUUAAUUUGUGGAGGUUUUAUAUUAGCAUUCCCAGAGCCUAGAAAAUGGGUUUUAAAGUAAUAAUAAUAAUAAACUUUAUUUGUAUAGCACCUUUCAUACAAAAAAUGCAGCUCGAAGUGCUUUACAACAAAUAAAAUACAUGCACCGAGUGCCUCACAUGAAAGACACAGAAUGAACAUAAAAACAGGGAUAGAAUGCCAUUAUUAAUGGAAAAUAAGAUGGAAAAUAAAAACUUCUUGAUAACAAGAGUAAAAUUAAAAUAAAGAUGAAAAUAGA